UACGACUACAUAUCAGGCAUAUCAAUAAGCGGAGGAAAAGAAACUAACAAGGAUUCCCUUAGUAACGGCGAGUGAAGCGGGAAGAGCUCAAAUUUGAAAUCUUCAAGGUUUUACCUUGACGAAUUGUAGUUUAAAGAAGUGUUUUCUGUUGGAGUUUUGGUAAAAGUUCUUUGGAAUAGGACAUCAUAGAGGGUGAGAAUCCCGUAUUUGACCAUUAUUUUCAGCUGUGUGAUACACUUUCAAAGAGUCGGAUUGUUUGGGAAUGCAGUCCAAAAUGGGUGGUAAAUUUCAUCUAAAGCUAAAUAUUGGCGAGAGACCGAUAGCGAACAAGUACCGUGAGGGAAAGAUGAAAAGAACUUUGAAAAGAGAGUUAAACAGUACGUGAAAUUGUCAAAAGGGAAGCGUUUGACACCAGUGUUGUUUUCUCGAAAAUCAAUUAAAAAAAGUUGGAUUUUGUGUUGUAUUGACCUUAACAGCUUGCUUCACUCUUUUCCAGCUUUUUUUAAUGCACUUUUCGUUUAACAAGUCAACAUCAGUUUCUUUUGUUGUAAAAGGGUCAUUGGAAGGUGGCUUUCUCUUCGGAGAAAGUGUUUAUAGCCUUUGAUCUCUGCAAUCGGAGAGACUGAGGUCUGCAGCGUAGAUCCUUCGGGGUUAGAUACAUUUGUGCUAAGCUACAGCUUUUCAUAGACAACUUGAUGACUAUGUUUAGUCUUGUAACUUACCCGCUUAUGCUAUUUUACCUACGUUAGGAUGUUGAGCGCAUGUCUCUCUCU
rnacentral:rRNA from 1 species